UUUUUUUUCAUUUUAAUAUUGUUUGCUGUGUUUGCUGAGUGGAGGGCACUAAUGAAUAUUUGAUACUUGCGUGAGGGGUCUCCUGUUCUAUGAAAAUCCGUCAAUUCGAUGGUUUGCCUUAUGCUCGUGUUCCAGUUUUCCCAGUUGGCUUCGCUGAAGUUCCAGCUGGGUGGUCGAUUUGAAGAUUGCAUUGGUUUGGUAACUAAUUGGAUGUGAAUUGGGAGGUGGUCGCUGCCUACAAAGGGUCCUCGUUUCAAUUCUGCUGUGGCGGCUAGGAGGUUGGCUAAUAUUCUUCCGCUGCGGUUGGGAUGGGUGCUUCUUGUGUCCCAUAGGCCAUGUCUUGCGUUGUAGUCGCCGCAGAAUAUGGUGUUGUUGCUGGUCAAUCUAUGCAAUUGGGUCAAUUCAUCCUCGUCGCACGCCUGGCCAUUUGGUCUGGCAGCUGAAGUUGUUUGAACUGGAGGGAUUUGUGAAUUAAUAUUGCCACGCCUCCUCCUACCUGGCCUACGCGAUUUUUAUUUACUGCAUAGUAUUGUUUGAAUUUUACGCUGAAUGAAUCUCUCCAGAACAUUUCGCAUAGUGUGACUAUGUGGGGUUUGUGAAGGUGCAAAUGUGCUUUGAAUUCUAUUAAAUUAGACUUUGUGAGACUUCUUGCGUUGUAUUGAA